GCUGGGCACGGUGGCGCACGCCUGUAAUCCCAGCAGCUAGGGGGGCUGAGGCAGGGGAAUUGUGAGUUUAAAGCCAGCCUUAGCAACUUAGCGAGACCCUGUCUCUA
rnacentral:sRNA from 1 species